rnacentral:ncRNA from 1 species
CAGUUCCGACCCCGAACCGGUACUUUCGGCGCCCCCGGGCGUGCGCAAGAUUUAAACGGGAAACAGGAAGGCCAUGCCGCCGCGAGGCGGCCGCCCAGCCUGUGCUGCCCCCGCAACGGUCCCCACGGCGUUUCCGCCGUGGCAGCCCGACACCGGCCGGUUCGCUAGCCGGGCA